rnacentral:rRNA from 1 species
AUGUGACCCCAGGAUGUCGAGCUCCGCCGGCCGAGUUUAAGCAUAUCAA